rnacentral:rRNA from 2 species
GCUCUCUGGAUCAGUGGCGAACGGGUGAGUAACACGUGAGCAAUCUGCCCCUGACUCUGGGAUAAGCGUUGGAAACGACGUCUAAUACCGGAUACGAGCUGCGAAGGCAUCUUCAGCAGCUGGAAAGAACUUCGGUCAGGGAUGAGCUCGCGGCCUAUCAGCUAGUUGGUGAGGUAAUGGCUCACCAAGGCGUCGACGGGUAGCCGGCCUGAGAGGGUGACCGGCCACACUGGGACUGAGACACGGCCCAGACUCCUACGGGAGGCAGCAGUGGGGAAUAUUGCACAAUGGGCGAAAGCCUGAUGCAGCAACGCCGCGUGAGGGACGACGGCCUUCGGGUUGUAAACCUCUUUUAGCAAGGAAGAAGCGAAAGUGACGGUACUUGCAGAAAAAGCGCCGGCUAACUACGUGCCAGCAGCCGCGGUAAUACGUAGGGCGCAAGCGUUAUCCGGAAUUAUUGGGCGUAAAGAGCUCGUAGGCGGUUUGUCGCGUCUGCUGUGAAAACCCGAGGCUCAACCUCGGGCCUGCAGUGGGUACGGGCAGACUAGAGUGCGGUAGGGGAGAUUGGAAUUCCUGGUGUAGCGGUGGAAUGCGCAGAUAUCAGGAGGAACACCGAUGGCGAAGGCAGAUCUCUGGGCCGUAACUGACGCUGAGGAGCGAAAGGGUGGGGAGCAAACAGGCUUAGAUACCCUGGUAGUCCACCCCGUAAACGUUGGGAACUAGUUGUGGGGUCCAUUCCACGGAUUCCGUGACGCAGCUAACGCAUUAAGUUCCCCGCCUGGGGAGUACGGCCGCAAGGCUAAAACUCAAAGGAAUUGACGGGGACCCGCACAAGCGGCGGAGCAUGCGGAUUAAUUCGAUGCAACGCGAAGAACCUUACCAAGGCUUGACAUAUACGAGAACGCUGCAGAAAUGCAGAACUCUUUGGACACUCGUAAACAGGUGGUGCAUGGUUGUCGUCAGCUCGUGUCGUGAGAUGUUGGGUUAAGUCCC